AGUAACGGCGAGUGAACAGGGAACAAGCUCAAAGUUGGAAUCUAUCUGGCUUAGCCAGAUCGAAUUGUAAACUUUAGAGUCGUUGUCCAGACCAGCCGAGUAAAUAAGUUCCUUGGAAUAGGACAUCAUGGAGGGUGAGAAUCCCGUCUUUGGCUUGAGCAUUGGUCUUUUGUGAUGCGACUUCAACGAGUCAGGUUGUUUGGGAAUGCAGCCUUAAUUGGGUGGUAAAUCUCACCUAAAGCUAAAUAUUGGCGAGAGACCGAUAGCGAACAAGUACCGUGAGGGAAAGAUGAAAAGAACUUUGAAAAGAGAGUUAAACAGUAUGUGAAAUUGCUAAAAGGGAACCGUUUGAAGUCAGUCUGGCUGGUCUGCAAUCAGCUUCAAUCUUGGUUGGAGUGCACUUGUAGGCCAUUUUUUUGCCUGCCAACAACAGUUUGUUCUGCAGCAAAAAGGUGUUGAGAAUGUGGCUUUCUCUUCGGAGGAAGUGUUAUAGCUCUUCGCGAAAUACUGUGGUUCAGACUGAGGCUUGCAGUGAAUGCUAUUUGGGCUUUGGGGAUGGAUUGCUCAGUGCUUUGCUUGGUUAGUUUCGGCCGUCAAACGUCGUGCUGGCCAAGUGAAGUCUGACUCGGUUCAUUCACUUUUAAUUCACUUUGGUUG
rnacentral:rRNA from 1 species